UUUUCAAUAAAGUGUAAAGGAGAUAGUAGGAAAAAAAACAGUUUCUAACCCUAAAACCCUAACACUCCAAUCGGUAGGAGCAGCGCACACAUACAGUACACACAAAAAAUUUAACAAAUUUGCGCUAAUUACAAUUUCUAUCUCUUCACAAACUACACUCUAACUGCAUCCAUUCCAUUUUUCUUUCUAACAAAUUCAAUUUUGUAUUCCUAACUUCAAUUCAAGUUACCCUUUCUGAAUUUGACGAGCAGCAAGAAGUGUGAGACCGAAAAGUUGGAUCUUCCAAAAUUUUGAAGCAGGGGAAGUACGUUUUUGCAUUAUAGAGAUGAGUUUGAUUUCUCAAAAUGCUGUUAUUAAGGAUAAAAGUAAGAAGAAAAAGAAGUCGAAGCGAAAUGAUAAUGAGGGUGAGGAGCCUCUCUUGUUAGAAGACAAGGAGGAGAUUUUGGAGGAAGAGGGUUUGGAUGUUGAUGAUAUUGUUAGUCAUAAGAAAAGAAUUAAAAGGAAUGAAGCGGAGGUAAACCAGAUGAUGGAGGAGGAAAUGGAAAUGCAGAACUUGGGGAAUUUUUUGUUUGGGUCUUUGCAUUCGCCGGUUGAGUUCGGAAAGGAAGAUGAGGAUGAAAAACAACGCGGAGUGGAUAUGGAUGCCUCGCCGUUAUUUAUCAUGGACCGGUCUGGCAAUAAUGAUUUGUCGGCUUAUGGAGAGGAUGGAGGUUAUCAAGGGGGAAAUGUUGAUGAAGAUGGCGGUGAACAAAGGAAACCGGUUUGGUUGGAUGACGAAGAGGAGGAGACUGCUAUUAACAUUUCGAAGGUUAAUAGGUUGAGGAAGCUAAGGAAGGAAGAAGAUGAGACUGUUAUAUCAGGUUCUGCAUAUGUGUCAAGGUUGAGGGCUCAUCACGAGAAGCUGAACCCUGGCACAGGUUGGGCCAAUCUUGAUUCAAAGGCUGGAAUGUAUGAUUCUGAUGAAGAUUCUGAGGUAGAAAAUGGGGCGGUGGUUGCUUCUGGUUAUAAAAGGGUUGAUGAUAUUCUAAAAACAAAUGAAGAGCUUGUGAUGAAGAGAGGAGUGAAGCUUUUGCCUGGAAUCCUUGAGUACUCGAAAUUAGUGGAUGCAAAUGUAGAAGAUCCUUCUAAUGGCCCAAUAAACUCUGUCCAGUUUCACAGAAAUCAUCAGUUACUCCUUGCUGCUGGAUUAGACCGAAAGCUGAGAUUUUUCCAGAUUGAUGGCAAGAGGAAUAAAAUGAUGGAUUCUAUCUUCAUUGAAGAUUGCCCUAUUAGAAACGCAUCUUUCUUACCGGAUGGCUCACAAGUUAUUGUUGCUGGUAGAAGAAAGUUCUUCUAUAGUAUCGACAUAUCCAAGGGAAAUGUUGAUAAAAUUGGGCCACUAACUGGGAGAGAGGAAAAAAGCUUGGAAGUUUUUGAGGUUUCCCCAGAUUCUCGUACUAUAGCCUUUUUGGGAAAUGAUGGUUACAUUUUGUUGGUAUCUGCAAAAACGAAGGAACUGAUUGGCACCCUUAAAAUGAAUGGAACAGCUCGAUCUAUAGCUUUCACUGACGAUGGACAGCAAUUGUUGAGUUCUGGUGGUGAUGGGCAUGUCUACCACUGGGAUUUAAGAACAAGAACUUGUCUCCAUAAGGGCGUGGAUGAAGGCUCUAUUAAUGGCACUGCUCUUUGUACUUCACCAGUAGGGAAUCUGUUUGCAGCUGGUUCAUCUAGUGGAAUUGUUAAUGUUUACAACAGGGAGGAAUUCUUGGGGGGAAAGAGAAAACCAAUCAAAACACUUGAGCAUCUCAGAACGGAAGCAAGUUUCAUGAAGUUUAACCAUGAUGCUCAGAUUUUAGCCAUCUGUUCAAGAAUGCAGAAGGGCAGCCUAAAAUUGGUUCACGUCCCUUCGUUUACUGUCUUUUCUAAUUUUCCUCCAGCAAACAAAACACUGAACUUUCCGAGAAGUUUGGAUUUUAGUCCUGCUGGUGGUUUCAUGGCUAUGGGGAAUGCAGCUGGAAAGGUUUUGCUGUAUAAGUUACAUCAUUAUCAGCAAGCAUAAGAUAAUGGGUCUGUCUGUAUUGUAUUUCCAGUUUUGCUCUAAGGAAUAGCUUCUCUCUGGUUUUGAGAUCAACAGAGGGAAGUAACCUAUGUGCGAAUUUUGGCGUUUUGGGACGUUAGUGUUGAUGUUAGUAGGGAAGAGGAACUGCAUGGUUGAGGCAUGGAUGUUUGUGGGUUAUAUAGCUUUGCAAAGGCAAGUGAGAUGGCUUGAACUUUGAAGCGCCUGCUGAAAGAACUUGGCACGACUGCUAGGCUUGCAUGUUGGUUUGUGUUGGAAGUAUAGCAGGUUGUGCAGCUUUGGCAGGUCCGAGCGGAGUUUCGUUCACGUGGUCCACGUCCACCCAACCUUAUAAUCUGUUCCCUAUUUAAGAUCAAUGUCUUAGGCUUCUGAAAAGAUGUUUUGGCCAUUGUAUGUUCUGGAUAAUCAAGUUUUCGUUGAGAAAAACAUGCUUAGGCCUUUUUGAGAUUAAGUGCUUAGUUGCUUACAGUUCCUUUCAAUCAUUAUCUACAUAUCGUUGAGAGUUCGAGUGCA